UACGUAGGGGGCAAGCGUUGUCCGGAAUUAUUGGGCGUAAAGCGCGCGCAGGCGGCUAUUUAAGUCUGGUGUUUAAACCUUGGGCUCAACCUGAGGUCGCACUGGAAACUGGGUGGCUUGAGUACAGAAGAGGAAAGUGGAAUUCCAACGUGUAGCGGUGAAAUGCGUAGAUAUGUGGAGGAACACCAGUGGCGAAGGCGACUUUCUGGGCUGUAACUGACGCUGAGGCGCGAAAGCGUGGGGAGCAAACAGG
rnacentral:rRNA from 1 species